rnacentral:rRNA from 1 species
UGACUGCGUACCUUUUGUAUAAUGGGUCAGCGACUUAUAUUCUGUAGCAAGGUUAACCGAAUAGGGGAGCCGGAGGGAAACCGAGUCUUAAUUGGGCGUUAAGUUGCAGGGUAUAGACCCGAAACCCGGUGAUCUAGCCAUGGGCAGGUUGAAGGUUGGGUAACACUAACUGGAGGACCGAACCGACUAAUGUUGAAAAAUUAGCGGAUGACCUGUGGCUGGGGGUGAAAGGCCAAUCAAACCGGGAGAUAGCUGGUUCUCCCCGAAAGCUAUUUAGGUAGCGCCUCGUGAAUUCAUCUCCGGGGGUAGAGCACUGUUUCGGCUAGGGGGCCAUCCCGGCUUACCAACCCGAUGCAAACUGCGAAUACCGGAGAAUGUUAUCACGGGAGACACACGGCGGGUGCUAACGUCCGUCGUGAAGAGGGAAACAACCCAGACCGCCAGCUAAGGUCCCAAAGUCAUGGUUAAGUGGGAAACGAUGUGGGAAGGCCCAGACAGCCAGGAUGUUGGCUUAGAAGCAGCCAUCAUUUAAAGAAAGCGUAAUAGCUCACUGGUCGAGUCGGCCUGCGCGGAAGAUGUAACGGGGCUAAACCAUGCACCGAAGCUGCGGCAGCGAACGUAUCACCCAAGACAACUUUACGGAGUUGACGAUUGACGGAGCGAAGCGACGUCAAAGCGUUCAUUAAAGUCGAGUUGGCUUAGGGAUACGUUCGUUGGGUAGGGGAGCGUUCUGUAAGCCUGUGAAGGUGUGUCGUGAGGCAUGCUGGAGGUAUCAGAAGUGCGAAUGCUGACAUAAGUAACGAUAAAGCGGGUGAAAAGCCCGCUCGCCGGAAGACCAAGGGUUCCUGUCCAACGUUAAUCGGGGCAGGGUGAGUCGACCCCUAAGGCGAGGCCGAAAGGCGUAGUCGAUGGGAAACGGGUUAAUAUUCCCGUACUUGGUGUUACUGCGAAGGGGGGACGGAG